rnacentral:rRNA from 1 species
GAUGAACGCUGGCGGCGUGCCUAAUACAUGCAAGUCGAGCGAACAGAUGAGGAGCUUGCUCCUCUGACGUUAGCGGCGGACGGGUGAGUAACACGUGGAUAACCUACCUAUAAGACUGGGAUAACUUCGGGAAACCGGAGCUAAUACCGGAUAAUAUAUUGAACCGCAUGGUUCAAUAGUGAAAGACGGUUUUGCUGUCACUUAUAGAUGGAUCCGCGCCGCAUUAGCUAGUUGGUAAGGUAACGGCUUACCAAGGCAACGAUGCGUAGCCGACCUGAGAGGGUGAUCGGCCACACUGGAACUGAGACACGGUCCAGACUCCUACGGGAGGCAGCAGUAGGGAAUCUUCCGCAAUGGGCGAAAGCCUGACGGAGCAACGCCGCGUGAGUGAUGAAGGUCUUCGGAUCGUAAAACUCUGUUAUUAGGGAAGAUCAAAUGUGUAAGUAACUAUGCACGUCUUGACGGUACCUAAUCAGAAAGCCACGGCUAACUACGUG